GCCUACGUAGCUCAGCGGUAGUUAGCACUUCCUUGGUAAGGAAGAGGUCGUAAGUUCGAAUCUUAUCGUAGGCUCCA
rnacentral:tRNA from 1 species